GCAUCGUGAUGGGGAUAGAUUAUUGCAAUUAUUAGUCUUCAACGAGGAAUGCCUAGUAGGCGCAAGUCAGCAGCUUGCGCCGAUUACGUCCCUGCCUCUUGUACACACCGCCCGUCGCUGCAACCGAUGGAGGGUCCUGUAAAUUCAUCGGACUGGCCAACCCCAUUUUGGGGCUGGCUGGAAAGUUGCGUAAAUAGAGCCCUCUAAAGGAUGCAAAAGUCGUAACACGGUUUCCGUAGGUGAACCUGC
rnacentral:ncRNA from 1 species